UACAGAGGGUGCAAGCGUUAAUCGGAAUUACUGGGCGUAAAGCGUGCGUAGACGGUUACAUAAGUCGGGUGUGAAAGCCCCGGGCUCAACCUGGGAAUUGCAUUCGAGACUGCAUGGCUAGGGUGCGGAAGAGGGAAGCGGAAUUUCCGGUGUAGCGGUGAAAUGCGUAGAUAUCGGAAGGAACACCAGUGGCGAAAGCGGCUUCCUGGUCCAGCACCGAUGUUCAGGCACGAAAGCGUGGGGAGCAAACAGG
rnacentral:rRNA from 1 species